CAGUAGCCGCGGGAAUACGUAGGUGGCAAGCGUUGUCCGGAAUUAUUGGGCGUAAAGCGCGCGCAGGCGGAUCAGUCAGUCUGUCUUAAAAGUUCGGGGCUUAACCCCGUGAUGGGAUGGAAACUGCUGAUCUAGAGUAUCGGAGAGGAAAGUGGAAUUCCUAGUGUAGCGGUGAAAUGCGUAGAUAUUAGGAAGAACACCAGUGGCGAAGGCGACUUUCUGGACGAAAACUGACGCUGAGGCUCGAAAGCGUGGGGAGCAAACAGGAUUAGAUACCCCGGUAGUCCCUGUCUCUUAUACA
rnacentral:rRNA from 1 species